rnacentral:rRNA from 1 species
CCUACGGGAGGCAGCCGUAGGGAAUCUUCCACAAUGGACGAAAGUCUGAUGGAGCAACGCCGCGUGGGUGAAGAAGGGUUUCGGAUCGUAAAACUCUGUUGGUAGUGAAGUAAGAUCGUGGUAGUACCUGUUCUUGUUUUGACGGUAUUUAAUUAGAUAGUCACGGCUAACUACGUGCCAGCCGCCGCGGUAAUACGUCGGUGGCAAGCGUUAUCCGGAUUUAUUGGGGUUAAAGGGUGCGCAGGCGGUAUUUUAAGUCUGAUGUGAAAGCCUGGGGCUUAACCGGAGUAUUGCAGUGGAAACGGGCAGUCUUGAGUGCAGUAGAGGUAAGUGGAAUUCGAGGUGUAGCGGUGAAAUGCUUAGAUAUCUGGAAGAACUCCGAUGGCGAAGGCAGCACGCUGGUCUGAAACUGACGCUGAGGUACGAAAGCGUGGGUAUCAAACAGGAUUAGAUACCCGUGUAGUC